CAAAGUUUUGAUCUGGGGGAGUAGGUGGCGAGGGCUGGAGCUUAAGGAAAUUGACGGAAGGGCAACCACGAAGAGUGAGCGUGCGCCUUCAUUUCGCCUCACCACGGGGAACUUACAGGUACAGGACGGUGGGUGGGGGAUUGGCAGUUGAUACUUCUUUCUUUUUCGGGUUUUCUUCCGACUGGUUGUGAAUAAUUUGUCUGGUUAGAUUCCGAAUAACGAACGAGACCUUAACCUGCUAACUAGGAUAUUUUCAUUUUAUGAAUAUAUCUCUAGAGGGGACUAUAUGCUUUAAGUAUGUGGGGGGUGGAGGCAAUAACAGGUCUGUGAUGCCUUAUAUGUCCUGGGCUGCACGCGUGCUACACUGAUAUAUACAACAAGUGCCUAGCUAGAUAUAGUAUGGCAAUCUCGAAUAUAUAUCGUGAUGGGGAUAGAUCUUUGCAAUUAUAGAUCUUGAACGAGAGAAUACCUAGUAAGUGCAAGUCAUCAUCUUGCAUUGAUUAUGUCCCUUCCCCUUUGGGCACAACAGAGAGGUCGCUCCUACCGAUACCGGGUGAUCCGGUGAACCUGUGGACCUCGCAAGAGGAAAGAAAGAUCUUCCGGCAA
rnacentral:rRNA from 1 species